rnacentral:rRNA from 1 species
GAGUUUGAUCUUGGCUCAGAUUGAACGCUGGCGGCAUGCCUUACACAUGCAAGUCGAACGGCAGCACGGGAGCUUGCUCCUGGUGGCGAGUGGCGAACGGGUGAGUAAUGCAUCGGAACGUAUCCUGGAGUGGGGGAUAACGUAGCGAAAGUUACGCUAAUACCGCAUAUUCUGUGAGCAGGAAAGCGGGGGACCUUCGGGCCUCGCGCUCUUGGAGCGGCCGAUGUCGGAUUAGCUAGUUGGUGAGGUAAGGGCUCACCAAGGCGACGAUCCGUAGCAGGUCUGAGAGGAUGAUCUGCCACACUGGAACUGAGACACGGUCCAGACUCCUACGGAGGCAGCAGUGGGGAAUUUGGACAAUGGGGGCAACCCUGAUCCAGCCAUGCCGCGUGAGUGAAGAAGGCCU